rnacentral:rRNA from 1 species
ACGCUCGACACCUACUGGAGGCAGCAGUAGGGAAUCUUCCACAAUGGACGCAAGUCUGAUGGAGCAACGCCGCGUGAGUGAAGAAGGUUUUCGGAUCGUAAAGCUCUGUUGUUGGUGAAGAAGGAUAGAGGUAGUAACUGGCCUUUAUUUGACGGUAAUCAACCAGAAAGUCACGGCUAACUACGUGCCUGCAGCCGCGGUAAUCUGAGCGGGCUGGCAAGGC